rnacentral:rRNA from 1 species
UGAAACACGGACCAAGGAGUCUAACAUGUACGCAAGUCAUGGGGUUUUCUCUCUCGAAGAAACCCACAAGGCGCAAUGAAAGUGAAAGAACACGCAAGUGAACUGGGCAGGAUCCCCCAACCCUCCGGGGCGGGGCGCACUGCCGGCCCGUCUCGUCUGCACCGUUGCUCUUCGGGGCUUCGGCUGUCAGUGAGGCGGAGCAAGAGCGCACACGUUGGGACCCGAAAGAUGGUGAACUAUGCUUGAGUAGGAUGAAGCCAGAGGAAACUCUGGUGGAGGUCCGCAGCGAUUCUGACGUGCAAAUCGAUCGUCAAACUUGAGUAUAGGGGCGAAAGACUAAUCGAACCAUCUAGUAGCUGGUUCCCUCCGAAGUUUCCCUCAGGAUAGCUGGCACUCGCUGACGUAGUUUUAUCCGGUCGAGCGAAUGAUUAGAGGUCUUGGGGCCGAAACGGCCUCAACCUAUUCUCAAACUUCAAAUGGGUAAGAAGCCCGACUCGCUCAACUGAGCCUCCGGGUUCUGGAGUCGCGGCAUUGAAUACGUAAGUGCCAAGUGGGCCACUUUUGGUAAGCAGAACUGGCGGCUGUG